rfam:Schistocephalus solidus strain NST_G2 genome assembly, scaffold: SSLN_scaffold0010500
GUUGGUUAUGGAGACAUGCACCCUCAGACGGCACUUGGAAAGUUCGUGGGCUGUCUUUGUGCGGUCGCUGGUGUUUUGACUAUCGCUCUCCCUGUACCGGUCAUUGUUUCAAAU